CCUACGGGUGGCAGCAGUGGGGGAUAUUGCACAAUGGGGGAAACCCUGAUGCAGCGACGCCGCGUGUGGGAAGACGGUCCUCUGGAUUGUAAACCACUGUCCCCAGGGACGAAGAUGACGGUACCUAGGGAGGAAGCUCCGGCUAACUACGUGCCAGAAGCCGCGGUAAUACGGAGGGGGCGAGCUUUAUCCGGUUUUAUGGGGUUUAAAGGGUGCGUAGGGGGGAUGCCAAGUCAGCGGUAAAAAUGCGGGGCUCAACCCCGGCGAGCCGUUGAAACUGGCGGUCUUGAGUGGGCGAGAGGUAUGCGGAAUGCGUGGUGUAGCGGUGAAAUGCAUAGAUAUUACGCAGAACUCCGAUUGCGAAGGCAGCAUACCGGCGCCCUACUGACGCUGAGGCACGAAAGCGUGGGUAUCGAACAGGAUUAGAUACCCGGGUAGUC
rnacentral:rRNA from 1 species